CGGAAAAGUAACAUCUUGACACGCUACGCAUUACCUCUUCAAAUUGUAUUGCCAUCAUUUUUAAUAUCACAAAAACGAUUAUUCAAGAUUAUUCAUACAUUCAUUCAUACAUCACAAUUAGGAAUUAUCAAUUCGUGCGAUUAAUUAAUUUCCGCUGUUAUCGCGUCUUGAUGAGCCUUUAACUCGAUUUGCACUCGUAUUUAGCAAUAUUGCACGGUAAAAUGAAGAGUAACAGAGAUCGAAACGUGAAAUUUAGCAUUAGCGUGAUUCUUAAAUGUCGAAUUAGCAAAUCAUAGCAUAAGCGUCAUUUUCCUGAUGUUUUCCGACAUGUCGCAAUAUAAAAAAGCGCGCGUAUUAUGUGAUAAAUAUUAUUGGAGUGCCGUCCGUAAAGUGCGCGAUCGUAUUCUAGUGCAGACACAAUCUUAAUUAACCGUUUUCGUGAGUGAGUAUUCAGUAUCAUAAAAGAACAAGAGAGGAAGAAAAGAUCUGGAGAGGCGUCGGAGCAACCAUCAACGCGUAUUACAACUCCGCUAUUCCGCAUUGUAUUGAAAUCAUCGGCUUCCCAUUCUGGAAUGUAUAAUUCCCGUUUCUGUCGGCACUUAUCUGUAAUUUGUGAGCGAUUUGCUGUCGGGAAUUCAUUAGAUAUAAAUGGAAAUUGGGCAGAGUAAUGUAUGUCAUUAAUACAGUAUCGAUGUGUCACAUUGCAUCUACCGCUGGAAGCGCCGUAUCGUAAAAUUGCGAGCGAAAGGAAGCGAGAGUUCUUAUCUACGCUUGGCAGGAUGCAGGCACUUUUGGUGAUGAAUUAUACAAUAUGUAAUUAUCUAGUCGCGGGAUAAUUCAUUCUUCUCGUUUAGAAAAGGAGGUAUCCCUCUUUACUUGACUCUGUGCAACUGCAGUUUCACACACAAAUUACCAAACAUUGUUUAUAUCUAUUUUAAUUUCAAUUUAAUUUUCAAUAUCUUUCAUCAAGCUUGAUAACGGCGGAAUGUUGGCACAGUUUCGCAAACUACACAACCUUUUAUUAUUAUUAUUAUUUUUUUUAAUUGAAAAAUUCUAUUAAACUGACAAUAUCAAUUUCUGUAAAUAAAUUUCGCAGAGCAAAAAUAAAUGAGUACAGCAAAAAGUGCAUCAUUUCAGAAACAACAGAUAGACUUUACUGGAAUAUUAUAUUUAUUAAUUAUCGAAAGGAAUGUACUUUAUACCUAACGCUAACCAGGCACUUAUUAUUAGGCGUAACUCACAUCACGUCUCAUCAUUUUUCUAGGAAAUAAAUUGAAGGAAUGAAAAGCAUAUAUUGAUCAAGACAAUUAUUAUUGCCGCAAAAAAUAUAAAGCGAGACGAAAAAGGAAACGCUCAUUCCGACAAAGGAGAGAAAUAUAUAUUAAUAUUAUGCAAAAGAUUCUAGCGUUUUUCAAUCAAAAAAUUAACAAAUCGAGCAAAGCAACGCAAUAUAUAAUAGCGGAUAACGGCGUUGUGUACUGUAAUAAUAAAUCUACAUCUCGCGUAUACAUCUAAAAGUGAUAUAAAAUCAUCGGCGACGAGCAAAAAAAUGUUUCGUUUACCUGGCAGUCUUACUUUGAGCAGAGAUAUCUCUCAAAGAGGGAAUGUUCUAGAUGGCGGAGAAGCGAAUAAUGUAUCUAUAAAUCGCGUGUGUCACGAGUGUUUUUUUUUUUUCUCUCCCUUCCUCUCUUUAAUAAAAUUCCGUAGCGCUACAACUAUCCAUUCGUAUGCUUCACACAUAUUUACCGCGAAAGGCAGGCGUUUACCGCGUUCGAACCAGGACUGAGGCCGUUAUAAUGCCAUGAGAUAUAUCGGAAUAUCUAUAUUACGUACCGUAAAAAUUUAUUCUGACACGCUAAUAUCAGAUUGACGGUUCCUAAAAAACGGAAAAUUUUCGGAAUUCUUUGUUUUCAAAUUGCACAUUUGUAAAUUUAUUGUCUUUUUUUUUUUUAUAAAGAAAUCUUUAUUAAACUUUUAUUAUACUCUCUGAUAAAAAGAUAUGAGAAAUUGUGAUGUCAUUUUUCAUUUACAAUUGUGUCUAUACAAGAUUAAGAUAAGAAGACACGAAUUGUAUUAGGCCGAUCGUAUCGGUUUUCUACAGUAAAUAUAUCACGAGCUUUUAGUAUCGCACAUUUUGAACACUAGUACCAUAUCGUAAACGUUAUAAGCCCUUUAUAAUCAUGUUAUCUCGAUAUUGCUAUCUUGAUAUAACUUUGAUGAUCGUCUUUAGUGCGUUGUCAAUGGGCUAUCAACAUCUUCCACAUGCGGUUCCUUACGAAAAGAAUCGUCGGCAACGGUACCAUAAAAGCUGUUUCGGCUUCUAUCUUCGAAUAAUACAAGCAAGUCAACGUACUCGGAUCGGAAUACGAUAUUAGGUAUUCCAUGCGACACACACGCAUACGCAUACAUGUCAACGGGAUAUUAAAACGAAUACAUUGCGCCUAAAAGCUAUGUAUAAAAUAUGCGAACAGUAAAAAAUAGCGCUUCUCAUUAUUUAUAUCUGUACGAAGUAUCAAAACUAUCGCCUCAAACUUUAUGUCGAUGGACAAACGACAAUUGAAUCUUAUCAUUUAUGAAAUUACAUCUGUAAAUUGUUUAGAUAUAAUAAUUUGAAUAUUUCUUUUUACGCCUAAAGAUAUCUGCGUGACAGCAUUGUAUUGGAGCGUCGUUACAGUAUUACAAUAGUACUAUAAUCGCCGAUUCUCACGUGAUAUCCCAGUCUUAUAAGGCGAAAAAUGAUAGAUUUAAGGAACGCUUGUAUAAAGCUUGUUCCAGCUUGGUCCCUCCAUACGUAUCACUUUUACAUCAUAAAUUUGUAUCAUAAAAGAGAAUUAACGAAGAAUAUCAAACAUCUCUUAUGUACGUUACAACACGUGGCCCCUCGGUAUACAUUAAUUUUAUAUUAUAAAAAAUAGAUAGAAAGAAUACGGAGACGCAAGAGACAGUGUAACAAUUGUAAUCUAGUUACGACAUAGUUUAAUAAAAUUGUGCGUAUGUCUUUCAGGGCGUGGAAUGAUGAAAUACGAGGAAGACGGACGCGCGUUAAUAUCUACACUUACACACACACACACACACACACACACACACACACACACACACACAUACGCUUGAUUCUCCCUCCUCCCUUCUCUUUCUCAUUCUCAUGUUCUCUCUAUGCUCAUAUACAUGUACAAAAGAAUUUUUUUUUCUCUCUAUUAUAGCUAUAAUAUACAUAUGUUUUCUUACACUUUUAAAAUAUAAGAAAGAUCAAAGUAAUCAAUAAUAGCGUAAAGAAACCACAAGUUAGGGUUUGCGAGGGGCGGCGCAUGAGAUUCUCUUACAUGAAAGAGCGAUCGAAAACAUGUAUAAUUAUAAAUUGUGACAGAGAUAUAAAUGAGAGUUCGUGUAAAGGAUGCUGAAUCUUUUACGAUAAAUACGCGAACUCUUCGCAGACACGAAUAAGAAUCUCUCUGUCUCAGAUACAUCCUAUCCCGUAUUCAAGUAUUAGAUAUUUAUCGUUGGACAAUCUUAUCUCUCUCUGUCGAGCUCGAGAUGUACAUUCAGCUUUCGACAGGAAACCAAAAAAAAAGAGUAGCAAGGAAAAUGAAGCGAGAGAAUUGAUAACGCUAAUAAGAGAUAACGCGCCGUCCCCCGGUUUAUCACACGAUCCAAGUCUAACGAACGAAGGUUUCCGAGAGUGCCGGGAGGACCUCGCGCUCUUUUAAGCUCUUUCACAGGUGCUUCUUCUCUCUCUCUCUCUCUCUCACUCUCUCUCUUCUCGUUUUUGUCAAAAGGCAGCUUUUGUCUAGAUUUGACGCGGUAUAAAGCCGAAAAAUGUUCCGAGAAAAGGGACAAUGAAACUCCUCUGUCUCUUAGAUUUUCUCGUUCGGCACGUAUUAUUCUUACAAGGCAGGUCGUUCCAUCACGAACAAGACGUUCGCUUCGAGACUCGUAGGAAUGCAAGCAAGGAACGAAUGAACACGCUUACAAGGCGGUGAAGCGCUUCGCGGAAGACCGGGAUUUUUAUUCUCUGCGUGCAUACAUAUGACCAUAGGACGUUCGUGUUACGAGGGGCCUUAUCCGCAAACUUUAUUGCAACAUUAUGUACACUUUGCCGCAAAAUACACGUGUGAAUAAAAACUCGCGCAGAGCAAUAAAUUGGCUUUUUUAAUUUUUUUUUUUUUACUUGGCUAUUAAUUAGACCAAGAAUGAACGAAUAAUGGAAUAAUUUUUUAAACUCUCAAUUAAUUUCAAUUACUUAUUAUAAUUGGGUUAUAUAAAAAUAUAAAUUAAAUCGCUGAAAAAAUUAGUCGAAUCGCACGAUUAUUUAAAUAAUGAGUCAUUGACAAAUGAGUCAAAUGAUCAUUCAACUUGCCUCGUAAGUAUAUACGCAAAAAAAACCGCGUGUUUUCUGCAAGUGCAUUGAUCGGAAGUUUGAAAUUUAUAAAAAUAAAGAAGAAUAAUUUCUAUUUUUUGCAAUCUAUUUAUAUUUUCUCGUGAAAAAGAAAAAGCUUCGAUUAAAAAAAGAAAAAAAAAUGAAUAUUUAUUAUAAGAAUUCAAAAUCUCCUCGUCAUUACUACGCAUAUUGCAAAAAACACACGAUAUAUGAAAAUUAAAUUAAUAAGCAUUAAACGAUAAAAGCUCGAUAUUAGAGUCGAAACCUUGCUCGAGAAAAUCUAAGAGUGAAAUAAAAUAAAGAAAAAAUGCAUAGAAACGCAUAGAAUGGAAUAGGCGGAUGUAAAAUCGAUGGGAAACUCUCCGAACGAUUGUGAAAGGAUCCAAAGACGAGGAGAGUUCGACGCGAAGGCGAAGAGGAGAGGCGAGGAGGACGGGCGGCGAACAGCAACGCUUUGUCUCGACUGUAAACCUACCUGGAAUGGAAGCGUGUACUCUCGCGCAAAAGAGAGGAACGGCGAGAUAUAAAAAAAAUCUUGGUCUAAGAGAAAAAAAGAAAAAAAAAAAAAAAACAA